UCCAGACUCCUACGGGAGGCAGCAGUGAGGAAUAUUGGUCAAUGGCCGCAGGGCUGAACCAGCCAAGUCGCGUGAGGGAUGACGGUCCUAUGGAUUGUAAACCUCUUUUGUCAGGGAGCAAAGGGCGCCACGUGUGGCGUUUUGCGAGUACCUGAAGAAAAAGCAUCGGCUAACUCCGUGCCAGCAGCCGCGGUAAUACGGAGGAUGCGAGCGUUAUCCGGAUUUAUUGGGUUUAAAGGGUGCGCAGGCGGAAUGUCAAGUCAGCGGUAAAAUUUCGGGGCUCAACCCCGUCGUGCCGUUGAAACUGGCGUUCUUGAGUGAGCGAGAAGUGUGCGGAAU
rnacentral:rRNA from 1 species